rnacentral:rRNA from 1 species
UCUGGUAAUGAUGGCAGAGAGGUCACACCCGUUCCCAUUCCGAACACGGAAGUUAAGCUCUCUAGCGCCGAUGGUAGUUGGGACCUUGUCCCUGUGAGAGUAGGACGUUGCCAGGC